UCCCUUGUUGUCUAAGGGUUAGGACUCUGAGCUUUGACUUCUGUGGCCCAGGUUCAAUCCCUGGUCAGGGAA
rnacentral:tRNA from 1 species